GUCUACGGCCAUGGCACCCUGAACAAGCCUGAUCCGGUCUAAUGUCAGAAGCUAAGCAAGGUCAGGCCUGGUUAGUACUUGGAUGGGAGGCCACCUAGGAAGACUAGGUGCUGUAGGCA
rnacentral:rRNA from 1 species